rnacentral:tRNA from 1 species
GCCGCCUUAGCUCAGAGGCAGAGCACCUGUCUCGUAAACAGGGGGUCGUGAGUUCGAUUCUCACAGGCGGCA